UGGGGAAUAUUGCACAAUGGGCGCAAGCCUGAUGCAGCCAUGCCGCGUGUGUGAAGAAGGCCUUCGGGUUGUAAAGCACUUUCAGCGGGGAGGAAGGCGUUAAGGUUAAUAACCUUGGCGAUUGACGUUACCCGCAGAAGAAGCACCGGCUAACUCCGUGCCAGCAGCCGCGGUAAUACGGAGGGUGCAAGCGUUAAUCGGAAUUACUGGGCGUAAAGCGCACGCAGGCGGUCUGUCAAGUCGGAUGUGAAAUCCCCGGGCUCAACCUGGGAAAUGCAUUCGAAACUGGCAGGCUAGAGUCUUGUAGAGGGGGGUAAAAUUCCAGGUGUAGCGGUGAAAUGCGUAGAGAUCUGGAGGAAUACCGGUGGCGAAGGCGGCCCCCUGGACAAAGACUGACGCUCAGGUGCGAAAGCGUGGGGAGCAAACAGG
rnacentral:rRNA from 1 species